UACAGAGGUCUCGAGCGUUAGGCGGAAUCACUGGGCUUAAAGCGUGUGUAGGCGGAUCGGUAAGUACCUUGUGAAAUCCCACAGCUUAACUGUGGAACUGCUUGGUAUACUGCCAGUCUUGAGCCACUUAGGGGCUACCGGAACAAAUGGUGGAGCGGUGAAAUGCGUAGAUAUCAUUUGGAACGCCAAUGGUGAAAACAGGUAGCUGGGAGUGUGCUGACGCUGAGACACGAAGCCAGGGGAGCGAAACGGG
rnacentral:rRNA from 1 species